AUUGAACGCUGGCGGCAGGCUUAACACAUGCAAGUCGAGCGGAGAGAGGUAGCUUGCUACUGAUCUUAGCGGCGGACGGGUGAGUAAUGCUUAGGAAUCUGCCUAUUAGUGGGGGACAACAUUUCGAAAGGAAUGCUAAUACCGCAUACGUCCUACGGGAGAAAGCAGGGGAUCUUCGGACCUUGCGCUAAUAGAUGAGCCUAAGUCGGAUUAGCUAGUUGGUGGGGUAAAGGCCUACCAAGGCGACGAUCUGUAGCGGGUCUGAGAGGAUGAUCCGCAACACUGGGACUGAGACACGGCCCAGACCCCUACGGGAGGCAGCAGUGGGGAAUAUUGGACAAUGGGCGCAAGCCUGAUCCAGCCAUGCCGCGUGUGUGAAGAAGGCCUUAUGGUUGUAAAGCACUUUAAGCGAGGAGGAGGCUACUUUAGUUAAUACCUAGAGAUAGUGGACGUUACUCGCAGAAUAAGCACCGGCUAACUCUGUGCCAGCCGCCGCCGUAAGAC
rnacentral:rRNA from 1 species